rfam:Hordeum vulgare subsp. vulgare, WGS project CAJW01000000 data, contig: morex_contig_1577312
UAAGUACUCCAUCCGUCCCAAAAUUCUUGUCUUAAGUUUGUCUAGAAAUGAAUGUAUCAAAACACUAAAACGUGACUAUAGAUUCAUAUCUAAACAAAUCUAAGACAAGAUUUUUGGGACGGAGGGAGUAUUUG